UGCAGUGUUCUUGUGGCAUCCAAUGAUAUUGUCAGGAACCAGCCGAGAGUGGAAUGAAAAAAAAAAAGCACUAAAAUGUCAUUCGCUGGCACUGUGACCUGAAUGGCAUCAGAAGUCAUUUGAAAUAAAAUGUGCAGUGAAAUGAAAAAGUAGACAUUUGGAGUGCAAAGCUCAAAAAUCAACCAUCAUUUAGACAAAUUCUCAUGCACCUUGAGAUUGCCUCUGCUGAAUUACUUUGGUUCAGUCGGAAGGACUUUUCUGAAUCGCUAUGAAGUCCUUAAUUGAAAGACACAGAUUCUGUCACUAUCAUCAAGAUAUUCUAAGAAAGGAUCUGAGAACAAUUACUGACUAUGUACAAUAAUAGUAGAAAGAGUAUAAUUCGUCCAGUCAUAAAAGUUCUAGAAAUGCCAGAUCGACUUGGUAAAAAAAAACUGACACAUAGGUCAGAGUCUGAAGUCAUCAUGUAAGUAAAUUUUCUUGUUGUGUGAGUGUAUCUUUAUUUCCCCAAUCUAUAGCUCACACUCCACUAUCAUACCACAAGGGAUCCUUGGCCAUGUAGGCAUAAAGAGAAAUGAAAAGAUAG
rnacentral:sRNA from 1 species